AGUCAUUAAGAUUUCAGA
rnacentral:snRNA from 1 species